UCAUUACUGGGACAGUAUGGAGCUCAGUCCACUCCCUGUGGUGCUCUUGCUGAUUUCAUUUGUACAAGCUGGAAUUGCUCAAGGUCAUGUUAAAGCUGUUGUGAGUGUAAGUCCUG